CUACGGGAGGCAGCAGGAAGGAAUAUUGGGCAAUGGGCGAAAGCCUGACCCAGCGACACCGCAUGGGGGAAGAAGGCCUUCGGGUUGUAAACCCCUUUUAUCGAGGGAAGAAUAAUGACGGUACCUGAGAAAAGCCUCGAGU
rnacentral:rRNA from 1 species